UACGAAAGGUGCAAGCGUUACUCGGAAUCACAGGGCGUAAAGCGCACGUAGGCGGACUCGUAGGUCAAUUGUGAAAUCCCUGGGCUCAACCCAGGAACUGCACCUGAAACUACCAGUCUUGAGUGGUGGAGAGGGAAGUGGAAUUCCUGGUGUAGAGGUGAAAUUCGUAGAUAUCAGGAGGAACACCAGUGGCGAAGGCGGCUUCCUGGACACCAACUGACGCUGAGACGCGAAAGCGUGGGGAGCAAACAGG
rnacentral:rRNA from 1 species